rnacentral:rRNA from 1 species
CACGUAGUUAGCCGGGGCUUCUUGGUCAGGUACCGUCUUUCUUCUUCCCUGCUGACAGAGCUUUACAUACCGAGAUACUUCUUCACUCACGCGGCGUCGCUGCAUCAGGGUUCCCCCCAUUGUGCAAUAUUCCCCACUGCUGCCUCCCGUAGGAGUCUGGGCCGUGUCUCAGUCCCAGUGUGGCCGUCCACCCUCUCAGGCCGGCUGCUGAUCGUCGCUUUGGUGGGCCGUUACCCCGCCAACUGGCUAAUCAGACGCGGGCCCAUCCUGUACCACCGGAGUUUUCAAAGGACCACCAUGCGGUCUUCCUUAUUAUGCGGUAUUAGCACCUAUUUCUAAGUGUUAUCCCCCGGUACAGGGCAGGUUGCCCACGCGUUACUCACCCGUCCGCCACUAAGACAGAUCUUUCCGUUACAGUAAACUGUUACUUCCAGGUCCGUCUCCGUUCGACUUGCAUGUGUUAGGCACGCCGCCAGCGUUCAUCCUGAGCCAGGAUCAAACUCU